rnacentral:rRNA from 1 species
AUUGAACGCUGGCGGCAGGCCUAACACAUGCAAGUCGAACGAGUGGCGGACGGGUGAGUAAUGUCUGGGAAACUGCCCGAUGGAGGGGGAUAAGUACUGGAAAAGGUAGCUAAUACCGCAUACCAACGGAUGUGCCCAGAUGGGAUUAGCUAGUAGGUGGGGUAACGGCUCACCUAGGCGACGAUCCCUAGCUGGUCUGAGAGGAUGACCCGCCCCCCUGGAACUGAGACACGGUCCAGACUCCUACGGAGGGCAGCAGUGGGAAAUUUUGCACAUUGGGCGCAAGCCUGCUGCAGCCAUGCCGCGUGUAUGAAGAAGUCCUUCGGGUUUUAAAGUACUUUCAGCGAGGAGGCGUUACUCGCAGAAGAAGCACCGGCUAACUCCGUGCCAGCAGCCGCGGUAAUUC